GACGAACGCUGGCGGCGUGCCUAAUACAUGCAAGUAGAACGCUGAAGGAGGAGCUUGCUUCUCUGGAUGAGUUGCGAACGGGUGAGUAACGCGUAGGUAACCUGCCUGGUAGUGGGGGAUAACUAUUGGAAACGAUAGCUAAUACCGCAUAAUAGCAGUUGUUGCAUGAUAACUGUUUGAAAGGUGCAAUUGCACCGCUACCAGAUGGACCUGCGUUGUAUUAGCUAGUUGGUGGGGUAACGGCUCACCAAGGCGACAAUACAUAGCCGACCUGAGAGGGUGAUCGGCCACACUGGGACUGAGACACGGCCCAGACUCCUACGGGAGGCAGCAGUAGGGAAUCUUCGGCAAUGGACGGAAGUCUGACCGAGCAACGCCGCGUGAGUGAAGAAGGUUUUCGGAUCGUAAAGCUCUGUUGUAAGAGAAGAACGAGUGUGAGAGUGGAAAGUUCACACUGUGACGGUAUCUUACCAGAAAGGGACGGCUAACUACGUG
rnacentral:rRNA from 1 species